rnacentral:tRNA from 1 species
CCUGGUGUUUCAGAUGGUAAAGAAUCUGUCUGCAAUGCAGGAGACCCAGGUUCGAUCCCUGGGUCAGGA